AACAUUUCCUAAAUUUCUAUAUAAUGUAGCAUUAAGAAAGAUGUUUUAAGAAAUUUGUUUCCUUACUGUUUUAAUUUUUUCGAAAAGAAACAUCAUUUUCGAGAAACUUCAAGAAGAAAGUUAUUAGCGUAAUUUUAUUACAGCUAAAACUGAUGCAAGGCAUUGGCACAGUGAAUGGCAGCUGAAAAAUUUUGACCCUUGUUUCUGGAAGUGAAAUGUUAGAUGGUUUGAUGAAGUGCCACAGAGAUUAUCGCUUAAAGAAUGCGUGCAGGCCAACCACCAACACAAGAUAUUAAAAGAGCAAUGAAAAUGAAGAUUUAACUAUAAA